AAACAACAUGGUGUCUCGUGACACUUGUACUGACAUGUUCACUGAGUGUCGGGAAGGACACCAGGCUCCUUUGUCAGUCAACACGAUUCCUUCUCAAGUACACGAAGACACACACACCCACACAAAUACAGUGUUUUCAAUAUCUAUAAGGACGAGGACGAAACUUAAACAGAAAUGAGUCAAUUAGUAUUGAAAGUGCUGCCUCACGAACCAGGGAAGGACAAUACACCGGAAGAUGUUCAGCUCAGAGGACCUAGUGAUACCAAGGACCUAGUGAUACCAAGGACCUAGUGAUACCAAGGACCUAGUGAUACCAAGAACCUAGUGAUACCAAGGACCUAGUGAUACCAAGGACCUAGUGAUACCAAAAACCUAGUGAUACCAAGGACCUAAUGAUACCAAGAACACGCCCGCGAGAACAACAGGAAGCUUGAGGUCGAAAGAGUCACAUUGUUUAAAGAGUCACCUACAAACGAAGCAGUUCCUUCUCAAAAUACUAAAGUUUGCGUAUACAAAGAGUGUUAAAAUGUUUUACAAAUUUGUUUAGAAUGUUUGUUAGCAUGUCGAUGUCGGUAUGACAUGCUGAUCUGUUGUACGGGUGCGCCACCUGAAGCUGAAUAACUUUCUAUAAAUAUAGGUUAACCUUUCAAAAGAAAACAGCUUGUGGAGAGAACUGUUGACAAAUAAGACCCCAUGUGACGGCACCACAGUAACCUUCACCUUACAGAGCAAGAGGUCAUAUAUUGAAUGGAAGUGAAGAUUGUGUCGGUGUGGUGGAGGAUUGUGUAAGCACAAUCACGGACUGCAAUACAGAAAAAAGAAACUGAACAUGGAGGAGGAAAGGAGAAACCUAAAUGAGUUGAGACAGGUCAAGACUGAGAUGGAAAGGUUGGGUGAAGAAAAAACUACAGUAGAUGACUGAGUGAGUAGCGUUUGUUCUCUGAGACGAUCUCAGGUGACACUUGCAGUAACAGACCAGCGACAAGACCACUGGCAACAUGUCUGGUCACCAGUCAACUGCUCAACAAAAGGCGGGCCGCCGGACAAAAUGUCGUGCACGUGGUGGAGCCAGUCAAAGGGGAGGCAACCCUGUGGAGGUUUAUCUGCACUUUGUCAAAGACAUGCAAGCUGCUCUCCUCGCUGGGUCCGGAAGUGCGAGCCCUAUUCAAGACAUCCAACACAAGUCAGGAGCCGAUGUUCAGUUGGCCCCCAACCCGUCCCCCGUACAGGACACGAAGACUGUCAUCAUCCGCGGCUCUCGUCUGCAGAUCGAGACGGCAGUCAGGCUCAUCAACCAGGAGACCGGGGUCAAGGUUCUGUGGCCCUGCGACUACAGUGAGUGUACCCUGUAUAUCUCCUCCCCGCAUGUGUAUCAAGACCCAGGGUGAGGGUGUGUCCUUCACUGGAGACUGCUAUACUGCUUUUAUUCCACUCUUUCCGGAACAAGUCCAGAGUCUGUCUAGUCGGACCACCUGGCACAGGUAAAACCGUGGUGCUGCUGCUGAAGGGGAUGGAGUGGCUGCGAUGUGGUCACCACGUCCACGUUGAGAGUACUUGUACUCAGAGUCGUGCAGCUUGUAGGAUGCUGUACUACCUUCUUCUUCAAGCUGUGAGCACACAGCAGUUGGCAGGUGUAUCACCCAAUCAGCUUCAUUUCCUUCAGCAUGACUUUUUUGUACCUGAAGGCGAGAAGAAGGCCCUUGACGACUUUGUAAAGGCUGCGAACAAAGGGUCAUUGUAUGUCCUCGCAGAUGAAGCGCAGUGGAUCGUCGAUAUCAACAUAUUCUGUGAUGAAGUGCUGAGACAAGUUCCUCUUCUUCAUCUGUGGGCGGCAAGCUAUUUCUUUAAAAACAUUCCGGCUGGAUGGCAAGUGGAAUGUUUAACCAGACCUCUCCGCUCUCCACCGGCCGUCGUCAGGGAAGUGGAGCAGGACGCAUCAUUUGUUAGAGAUGGCGCUGUCCAAGCGUACACUGAUCGUGGGGUGGCCGACCACACAGACGGCCCGCCAGUCACCACAUUUCUCCACGGACCCCAGUGUCACCAUCGUCUGUCACUAAACUGUGUCACGUGCGGUCGCGAGGUGGCCAACUUCCUAAACAAGCUUCGUCAUUGUU
rnacentral:misc_RNA from 1 species